rnacentral:rRNA from 1 species
UCUGGUGACCAUGGCGGAGGGGAUCCACGCGUUCCCAUUCCGAACACGACCGUUAAGCCCUCCAGCGCCGAUGGUACUUGGACCGAAGGGUCCCGGGAGAGUAGGACGUUGCCAGGC